GUGCCAGCAGCCCCGGUAAUACGGAAGGUGGCAGCGUUAAACCGAAUUACUGGGCGUAAGCGCACGCAGGCGGUUUGUUAGUCAGAUGUGAAAUCCCCGGGCUCAACCUGGGAACUGCAUUUGAAACUGGCAAGCUAGAGUCUCGUAGAGGGGGGUAGAAUUCCAGGUGUAGCGGUGAAAUGCGUAGAGAUCUGGAGGAAUACCGGUGGCGAAGGCGGCCCCCUGGACGAAGACUGACGCUCAGGUGCGAAAGCGUGGGGAGCAAACAGGAUUAGAUACCCUGGUAGUCC
rnacentral:rRNA from 1 species